AAGGGACCCGGUAGGGCUCGGCGACGAC
rnacentral:sRNA from 1 species